GGUUAAGUUAGAAAGGGCGCACGGUGAAUGCCUUGGCACUAGGAGCCGAUGAAGGACGGGACUAACACCGAUAUGCUUCGGGGAGCUGUAAGUGAGCUUUGAUCCGGAGAUUUCCGAAUGGGGAAACCCACUGUUCGUAAUGGAACAGUAUCUUUAUCUGAAUACAUAGGAUAUUGAAGGCAGACCCGGGGAACUGAAACAUCUAAGUACCCGGAGGAAGAGAAAGCAAAUGCGAUUUCCUGAGUAGCGGCGAGCGAAACGGAAUUAGCCCAAACCAAGAGGCUUGCCUCUUGGGGUUGUAGGACACUCUAUACGGAGUUACAAAGGAACGAAGUAAAUGAAGCGACCUGGAAAGGUCCGUCGAAGAAGGUAACAACCCUGUAGUUGAAACUUCGUUCCCUCUUGAGUGGAUCCUGAGUACGGCGGAACACGUGAAAUUCCGUCGGAAGCUGGGAGGACCAUCUCCCAAGGCUAAAUACUACCUAGUGACCGAUAGUGAACCAGUACCGUGAGGGAAAGGUGAAAAGCACCCCGGAAGGGGAGUGAAAGAGAUCCUGAAACCGUGUGCCUACAAGUAGUCAGAGCCCGUUAACGGGUGAUGGCGUGCCUUUUGUAGAAUGAACCGGCGAGUUACGAUCCCAUGCAAGGUUAAGCUGAUAAGGCGGAGCCGUAGCGAAAGCGAGUCUGAAUAGGGCGUUUAGUAUGUGGUUGUAGACCCGAAACCAGGUGAUCUACCCAUGUCCAGGGUGAAGUUCAGGUAACACUGAAUGGAGGCCCGAACCCACGCACGUUGAAAAGUGCGGGGAUGAGGUGUGGGUAGCGGAGAAAUUCCAAUCGAACCUGGAGAUAGCUGGUUCUCUCCGAAAUAGCUUUAGGGCUAGCCUCAUGUUGUGAGAGUCUUGGAGGUAGAGCACUGAUUGGACUAGGGGCCCCAACGGGUUACCGAAUUCAGUCAAACUCCGAAUGCCAAAGACUUAUCCAUGGGAGUCAGACUGCGAGUGAUAAGAUCCGUAGUCAAAAGGGAAACAGCCCAGACCACCAGCUAAGGUCCCCAAGUAUACGUUAAGUGGAAAAGGAUGUGGAGUUGCUUAGACAACCAGGAUGUUGGCUUAGAAGCAGCCACCAUUUAAAGAGUGCGUAAUAGCUCACUGGUCGAGUGACUCUGCGCCGAAAAUGUACCGGGGCUAAACGUAUCACCGAAGCUGUGGAUUGACAUCUUUGAUGUCAGUGGUAGGAGAGCGUUCUAAGUGCAGCGAAGUCAGACCGUAAGGACUGGUGGAGCGCUUAGAAGUGAGAAUGCCGGUAUGAGUAGCGAAAGACAAGUGAGAAUCUUGUCCACCGAAUGCCUAAGGUUUCCUGAGGAAGGCUCGUCCGCUCAGGGUUAGUCGGGACCUAAGCCGAGGCUGAAAAGCGUAGGCGAUGGCCAACAGGUUGAUAUUCCUGUACCACCUCCCCGCCGUUUGAGUAAUGGGGGACGCAGUAGGAUAGGGUAAGCGCGCUGCUGGAUAUGCGCGUUCAAGCAGUUAGGCUGAUGAGUAGGCAAAUCCGCUCAUCAUUAAGGCUGAGCUGUGAUGACGAGGGAAUUAUAGUACCGAAGUUCCUGAUUCCACACUGCCAAGAAAAGCCUCUAGCGAGGCGGGAGGUGCCCGUACCGCAAACCGACACAGGUAGGCGAGGAGAGAAUCCUAAGGUGAUCGAGAGAACUCUCGUUAAGGAACUCGGCAAAAUGACCCCGUAACUUCGGGAGAAGGGUGCUCUGGUAGGGUGUAUAGCCCGAGAGAGCCGCAGUGAAUAGGCCCAGGCGACUGUUUAGCAAAAACACAGGUCUCUGCGAAGCCGCAAGGCGAAGUAUAGGGGCUGACGCCUGCCCGGUGCUGGAAGGUUAAGAGGAGGGGUUAUCCUUUGGGAGAAGCUCUGAAUCGAAGCCCCAGUAAACGGCGGCCGUAACUAUAACGGUCCUAAGGUAGCGAAAUUCCUUGUCGGGUAAGUUCCGACCCGCACGAAAGGCGUAACGAUCUGGGCACUGUCUCAACGAGAGACUCGGUGAAAUUAUAGUACCUGUGAAGAUGCAGGUUACCCGCGACAGGACGGAAAGACCCCGUGGAGCUUUACUGUAGCCUGAUAUUGAAUUUUGGUACAGCUUGUACAGGAUAGGUAGGAGCCUGAGAAGCCGGAGCGCUAGCUUCGGUGGAGGCGUCGGUGGGAUACUACCCUGGCUGUAUUGAAAUUCUAACCCGCGGCCCUGAUCGGGCCGGGAGACAGUGUCAGGUGGGCAGUUUGACUGGGGCGGUCGCCUCCUAAAAUGUAACGGAGGCGCCCAAAGGUUCCCUCAGAAUGGUUGGAAAUCAUUCGUAGAGUGUAAAGGCACAAGGGAGCUUGACUGCGAGACCUACAAGUCGAGCAGGGACGAAAGUCGGGCUUAGUGAUCCGGUGGUUCCGCAUGGAAGGGCCAUCGCUCAACGGAUAAAAGCUACCCCGGGGAUAACAGGCUUAUCUCCCCCAAGAGUCCACAUCGACGGGGAGGUUUGGCACCUCGAUGUCGGCUCAUCGCAUCCUGGGGCUGUAGUCGGUCCCAAGGGUUGGGCUGUUCGCCCAUUAAAGCGGUACGCGAGCUGGGUUCAGAACGUCGUGAGACAGUUCGGUCCCUAUCCGUCGUGGGCGUAGGAAAUUUGAGAGGAGCUGUCCUUAGUACGAGAGGACCGGGAUGGACACACCGCUGGUGUACCAGUUGUCUUGCCAAAGGCAUCGCUGGGUAGCUAUGUGUGGACGGGAUAAGUGCUGAAAGCAUCUAAGCAUGAAGCCCCCCUCAAGAUGAGAUUUCCCAUAGCGCAAGCUAGUAAGAUCCCUGAAAGAUGAUCAGGUUGAUAGGUCAGAGGUGGAAGCGUGGCGACAUGUGUAGCUGACUGAUACUAAUCGAUCGAGGACUUAACCAA
rnacentral:rRNA from 1 species